rnacentral:lncRNA from 1 species
CCCUGGAUCCAUACCACCUGAAUCUAGUGACCUUAACCGCCUGGGUCUCCUUGUUACUCCAGUAGACAUGGCUCGGCACAGCCGAUGUCUCCUUGAUGGCAAAUCUUCCAUGCAUCACCAGGAUUAGCCAAGACCUGGCUGGCAGAACCGAACACUCUCAGAAGGGUGGUUUUCUGCCCUUUGCUACAUGACGGGGCUCAUCAUUGCCCUGCGGGGAAGUCGUAUGGUUGCUGGGCUCGCUUCCCUAACCCCAGACGCUUCCAAGCAGGCCUCGAGGAUGCAAGCCUCUUAUGCUUUUGGUUUCCGUUGGAGCCACUGUCUGACACGGCCGGGGAGUGCCUGGGAAAAUGAUGCAGCCCUCCUGCCCCACCGUCCUCCCGGAAAGUGGGGCAUUCGUGCUGGGUGGCUCUGGGAAGUUUGCCGUCCUGCUGAUGCAGAGAGAGAAGACCCCGGACACCACUGGGUGAUUUCCAGGGGCUACAGAGGCCUGGUGCCCGAAAGCAGCUCUCCUGGAUGGCUGGUCACUGCAGAGAAGCAGAACCCCCUGCAGCGAGCCCCCACCCUGAGCAGGGCACGGGUGGGGGAGGGGACGGUCCCUUCAGCAUCUUUACAAAGGAAGGCCUGGGCAGGAGUCAAGUUGGACGGGACAGAGAUGCUGAGAGGUCAAGAUGGUCUGAUACUAUCUCAGAUGUGGGGGGCAGGUGUGCAGAUGGCGAUGAAGAAGGUCCCUGGUGGUCGGGGACUGAGCCACCCCUCAGGUCUAACCCAUGGAGCCACAUGGGAAUGCAACCCGGGGCUGAAAAGAAUAUCUGAUCUUUCCACAGAAACUGGAAACCCUGAUUUUAUGUGGCGUCUCCCCAUUUUCAAUAAAACAUUCACGAC